rnacentral:misc_RNA from 1 species
AACCUUAUGGACCUGCGGGCGUAUACCUGCGGAGGGAUCAUUACCGAGUUUACAACUCCCAAACCCCUGUGAACAUACCACUUGUUGCCUCGGCGGAUCAGCCCGCUCCCGGUAAAACGGGACGGCCCGCCAGAGGACCCCUAAACUCUGUUUCUAUAUGUAACUUCUGAGUAAAACCAUAAAUAAAUCAAAACUUUUAGCAAUGGAUCU